AGUGAACGCUGGCGGUAGGCCUACCACAUGCCAGUCGAACGGCAGCACAGUAAGAGCUUGCUCUUACGGGUGGCGAGUGGCGGACGGGUGAGGAAUACAUCGGAAUCUACUUUUUCGUGGGGGAUAACGUAGGGAAACUUACGCUAAUACCGCAUACGACCUACGGGUGAAAGCAGGGGAUCUUCGGACCUUGCGCGAUUGAAUGAGCCGAUGUCGGAUUAGCUAGUUGGCGGGGUAAAGGCCCACCAAGGCGACGAUCCGUAGCUGGUCUGAGAGGAUGAUCAGCCACACUGGAACUGAGACACGGUCCAGACUCCUACGGGAGGCAGCAGUGGGGAAUAUUGGACAAUGGGCGCAAGCCUGAUCCAGCCAUACCGCGUGGGUGAAGAAGGCCUUCGGGUUGUAAAGCCCUUUUGUCGGGAAAGAAAAGCAGCAGGUUAAUACCCCGCUGUUCUGACGGUACCCAAAGAAUAAGCACCGGCUAACUUCGUG
rnacentral:rRNA from 1 species